AUUUUUUUCCCAGCCGCCAACAGCCUCUCUCUCCCUCCCCACGCCAUCUUCCUCCCUGGAUUCCCCACGCUAGCAACAGGGAGCACGUCUCCUUCCCUCCAUGGCCGGACCGCCCUCCCCCUGCUGCCGGCAGACAGCAGCUUGGCAUCUUCAACCUCGGCCGCGAGCUCCCUCCUCGGCUGCUUCCAGCCCAACUCGGCGCCCUUGCUGCAGGCGAGCAGCAGCUCUCUGGAUUCAUGGCGCCGGUGAAGCUCGAGCAGCCAAGCUCCCAGCUAUGGCGCUUGCUCCCUGCAGGGAUGCAGUUCCCUUGGCCGACGCCCAGCAGAGCAGCCAUGGCCGAGCUCCCUGGGAGCACGCCGGUGCCCCUGCUGUCCCCAUGGUCGAAGCCUCUGCUCGGCCAGCAGACAUGGCCGCCAGCCCCCGGCGAGCUCGAGUUCUUCUCCCUGGCCGCCCUGCUCCCUGUCCACGGCGCCUGGGAAUUCCAACAGCAGCUCCCCCUUCUCCCUGCGCCCUCUCUCCAUGGCGAGCAGCCCCCCUGCAGCGAGCUCUUUCCCCUAACCUGCUCGCGGCUAGCACCAUGGAGCCGAGCUCCUUCUCUGCAGCAGCCGCUGCACCUUUCCCCUUUUUGCCACUAUGGUGCGCAGCCCCGUCUCUUCCACUCAACGCAGCAGAUCGGACAGCUCCUCUGCUCCUCCAUUCAUCGCCAUCAAAUAUUUUUGGGGCUCGAUUCGGCGCGCUGUCCAUCUGCGUUGCCUCGCUGCGCACCCGCGCGCUGUGUCGUGCCAUCCCGCUUUUGCAGCCAUCGUUGGUGCACGCGCAGCGCCGCACCUCACUGUUGCAUGUCCCGCUGCGCGCGUGCCAGGUGUUCGGCGAAAUGUCUGGGUGGGGUGCUGCGCAGCGAACCGCACGCCGUGGUGCCCACCGGGUGCUUGCUGUUUUUGCGCAGCCCCGUCGUCGUCGUCGUUCACCCCGGUGAGACCACGACAAUCCUUAUUCGAUUCCGCAUCGGCGUUAUUUUCAUACGAUUAAUUGUGUAUGUGUGCUGUUUUAUUUUUGUUUUGUGGAGGAGAGGCACCCCAUGUUUUGCGUGGAGAAGGCAAGUCGUUCAACGCUCGUAGAUGUGCGGAGCUAUGCACAAAUCGGAAUCACCAUCGUCCUCACAAACACCGUUUGGGUUUGUUUAUGGAACGAGAGGUGACGAUCGUGCAAGUGAUGUGGUACCAACCACAAGAUGCAGUCGGUGGACGACCCAAGGAAGGAUGGACUUAACCAGUGGAUGCUCGCCAAGCGAGUACCUCCCCAGCAAACACUACCUAAGUGUUAAAAAGGUACUCCUUAGGAUGAUUUGUUGAUGGUGUGACUUGGCAUUCAUCCCAGCCACCGGGGUAGACGGCCGAGUGGGUUAUUGCUUCCGCAGGAGAGGACCAGGAGGAGUAGCGUGGCCAGGCUUCGCCAUGUUACUCGGUUUUCUUCGUUAGUUAUUUCCGCUGCAUUAAAAUUUAUGGUUAUUAUUUCUGAAACUCCGA
rnacentral:misc_RNA from 1 species